rnacentral:lncRNA from 1 species
AAAGAGCAAUGGCAUUUUACAUCAUGUCCUGAAAGUCAUCAGUCCAUAACCACUAAGAAGUGAUGCAAAAUGCUGGUAAUCUCUGCCCAGCAAGCAAUCCGAGUCCAUGCGGAAAGCUCCUGAAAAACAUCAUCUGUGUAAGGAAGAAUUCCUUCCUACAUCUCGGUUACCAGGAGCAGGAAGCAGGCUGCAGCAGAUGAGGAUAGCUGAAAUCACAAAUCAGAGCGCCUACUUCUUGAUACUCCUGCCUCAGUUUUGUCUUCUGUGGACCUGGACUGGUAACAGCUUCCUGCCUACCGGGGAUGCUGCAAACAUUAUUGCACACUUAGCAGAUUAUGAGUGAGGCCAAGUUUGGACUCUGUGAGGAUUUUCAGACGCUCAAAUGGAUUGCCCAGUAGAGGGAGCAAAGGGAGCACUGUGGACACUGUACACUUUCAGAAACUCGCAGAAAGUCUUCACCCGUGCAAGCCAUCCUUAAGUGCUUCUCCCCAGUCCCGGGGCUGGGUCAGCGUGGGUUAGUGUGCCACUGAGCCAAGCAGAAACAACGACCAGGAGAAAAACGGCCUUUGGACAGCCAGGUCUUGAGUGGAUGCUGCCAGUGCAGCCAGACAGAGAGAGCAUAAACUGCUGGUGUUCAGGGUUUAAAAAUAUUUUCUUAAUACUUAUUUAAAUCCC